CAGCAGUGGGGAAUAUUGGGCAAUGGACGAAAGUCUGACCCAGCGACGCCGCGUGCGGGAUGAAGGCCUUCGGGUUGUAAACCGCUUUCAGCAGGGAAGAAGCGAAAGUGACGGUACCUGCAGAAGAAGCACCGGCUAACUAUGUGCCAGCAGCCGCGGUAAUACAUAGGGUGCAAGCGUUGUCCGGAAUUAUUGGGCGUAAAGAGCUCGUAGGUGGUUAGUUACGUCGGAUGUGAAAAUCUAGGGCUCAACCCUAGACCUGCAUCCGAUACGGGCUAGCUUGAGUUUGGUAGGGGAGACUGGAAUUCCUGGUGUAGCGGUGGAAUGCGCAGAUAUCAGGAGGAACACCAAUGGCGAAGGCAGGUCUCUGGGCCAAUACUGACACUGAGGAGCGAAAGUGUGGGGAGCGAACAGGAUUAGAUACCCCGGUAGUCCGGUCUG
rnacentral:rRNA from 1 species